AUCGACUGCAACUAGCAAUCAAUCGCCAAUUUGCGUUGCAAGAAAAAGGCUUGCGAUUGAACGCAAGUUGCAGCUGACCUGCAGACGAUUUGCAGCUGUAAACAGGGUCUGCAGCACAAGACUAGCCGAAAAAGCAAAAUAAUGGCUUGCAACAAUCCUGUUUGUGGAAGAGAUUAUGACAAAGAAGUCUGGAACCUCAGAACCACCAUAACUGUGUCUGCUACAAUGUGUGUUCUUGCAACCAGCUGAUUGAUUCAUUUUAUCAACUCUUGAAUGGUUGAUUAUCAGAACUGAAUUCAGAGCUGCUCCUGUCUGUAGCAGGGGCCGCGGAACCGGGGG